CAGCAGCCGCGGGAAUACGUAGGUGGCAAGCGUUGUCCGGAAUUAUUGGGCGUAAAGGGCUCGCAGGCGGUUUCUUAAGUCUGAUGUGAAAGCCCCCGGCUCAACCGGGGAGGGUCAUUGGAAACUGGGAAACUUGAGUGCAGAAGAGGAGAGUGGAAUUCCACGUGUAGCGGUGAAAUACGUAGAGAUGUGGAGGAACACCAGUGGCGAAGGCGACUCUCUGGUCUGUAACUGACGCUGAGGAGCGAAAGCGUGGGGAGCGAACAGGAUUAGAUACCCCCGUAGUCCCUGUCUCUUAUAC
rnacentral:rRNA from 1 species